rnacentral:rRNA from 1 species
UGAAAUCUCACCAGGCCCGGACACUGGAAGGAUUGACAGAUUGAUAGCUCUUUCUUGAUUCGGUGCGUGGUGGUGCAUGGCCGUUCUUAGUUGGUUGAGUGAUUUGUCUUGUUAAUUCCGAUAACGAACGAGACUCUGUCCUGCUAAAUAGUGUCUGCUUCUCUUUCGAGCAGACAAUUCUUCUUAGAGGGACUAUAUGUGUUAAGCAUAUGGAAGUUUGAGGCAAUAA